GUUUCUGUAGCGCAAUUGGUAGGGCGUUGGACUUCUCAUCCAAUAGUCGUGGGUUCCAAUUCCACCUGGAAUG